UACGAAGGGGGCUAGCGUUGUUCGGAAUCACUGGGCGUAAAGCGCACGUAGGCGGAUCUUUAAGUCAGGGGUGAAAUCCCGAGGCUCAACCUCGGAACUGCCUUUGAUACUGGGGAUCUCGAGUCCGGGAGAGGUGAGUGGAACUGCGAGUGUAGAGGUGAAAUUCGUAGAUAUUCGCAAGAACACCAGUGGCGAAGGCGGCCCACUGGCCCGAUACUGACGCUGAGGCACGAAAGCGUGGGGAGCAAACAGG
rnacentral:rRNA from 1 species